GAUGAACGCUGGCGGCGUGCUUAACACAUGCAAGUCGAACGGUGAAGCAGGAGCUUGCUCCUGUGGAUCAGUGGCGAACGGGUGAGUAACACGUGAGCAAUCUGCCCUGGACUCUGGGAUAAGCGUUGGAAACGACGUCUAAUACCGGAUACGAGGCGUGGGGGCAUCCCCAACGCCUGGAAAGAACUUCGGUCCAGGAUGAGCUCGCGGCCUAGCAGGUAGUUGGUGAGGUAACGGCUCACCAAGCGUACGACGGGUAGCCGGCCUGAGAGGGUGACCGGCCAAACGGGGACUGAGACACGGCCCAGACUCCUACGGGAGGCAGCAGUGGGGAAUAUUGCACAAUGGGCGCAAGCCUGAUUCAGCAACGCCGCGUGAGGGACGACGGCCUUCGGGUUGUAAACCUCUUUUAGCAGGGAAGAAGCGAAAGUGACGGUACCUGCAGAAAAAGCACCGGCUAACUACGUGCCAGCCGCCGCCGUAAAAC
rnacentral:rRNA from 1 species